CCUCUAUCCCCAAUAA
rnacentral:tRNA from 8 species